GCUGCGGGGUCCCUGAGGGGGCCGGCACUGCCGAGCAGCCCCGGGGGCUGAGCGGGACCCUCUGGGUGGGGGUCCAGCGCCUUGCAGGGCCCAUGGCUCCUGUGGCAGGGCAGAGGGGCCUGUCGGCCUGUGAGCAGCCCCGGCAGGGGUGCCCGGGGCCGCAGGGCCACCCCGGCUCCCCGCAGCUCCCGGCGGGAGAGGCGCGGGCCCUGGGAUCUGCCGGGGAGCACGGCCCUCCGAGAGCCACCGAGCCUUGUUGUUUCUAAUUAAUGCCUGUGUGGUAGCCUAAUCUGUGUUACCGGGCUCUCAGGAGUAUUGUCGCACCAAAGGUAUAUUCUGGGGUUCAGUUAAUUAAAAAUUACUUAUAAAUCUGCCUAGGUCCUGUGUUGCACUUAACUCUGCUGUUGUGGCUAUACCACAGAAGAAAUACCCAAUAUUUAUGCAGUUCCAGCAGUAGUUUGGCUAAUUUCCUGUAGAGCUCUUUUCCGUGCUGUUCCUCAUGGGAUUCUAAGGGUUUGCAGUUCUGUCAGCCUCACUCGCUGUGGUGGGGACAUGGGACUGACACCUGAUUUUCCCGUGUCGGGAGCAGAGCACGUCCCCAGAUCCUGGGGAUUGUUCUGCUGCCGGCCUUGGGCUGCCUGCUCUCCUAAGGGCACUUGGUUCUAGAGCUGGAGCUUGCAGCACACACCUCUAGGUAGAUUUGUGCUGGGAUCAAGUUAUGAGUCCCCAGGAGAACUGAAAAUAUGGCAUGUGUUAAAUUCUGGUUUAUUUUAUAAUAAGCUUCCCCCUACCUACCCCUGUUUUUUUCUUUCAAGUACAUGUGGAAGUAUCUAAUGUGUGUUCUCUUUGGCUAUAUACUUCUUAUAAACUCAGUAUCAACCAUGCACUUAAACACAUACUUGUGAGGAUGUGUCUGAUUUGCCUCUAGUAAUGAAGUUCAAGCAAAAACUUGAUGAAAAAUACCUGAUUUCUAUAUACAAAUCUGUGUUUGUGUGUGUUUAUUUUGGAGUUAAUUUCUUUCUGAGACUGAUAACAAGGGAGAAUGUCUCUCUCAUCAAGCCGAACUGAAAGAAGAUAAUACAGAAGCUGGGUUCAGUAUGGUUGAAUAAAUCUAGCCACAGAGCUACACAUUAACUCUGGAUUUUCACACUGCAUUGCAAAGCAUGAUUGUCAGUGAUUGUGGAAGUUGAAGUCCUAGGAAUUUAAUUUCUUGACCAUCUACUUGUGUAGUCUGACAGCUUCAGUCUGAGAGGUGCACCGGAACAACCUGUAUGCUCCUGACGAAGCAUCCUUCCUGUAGCCCCUUCAGACCCCGAAAGGUGCCGUGAGGUCUCCACACAGAAGAACCUUCUCUUCUUUGGGCUGACCAGCUCCAACUUUCUCAGCUUGUCUUCACAGGGGAAGUGCCCCAAUCCUCUGGACUUGCUGCAACAUCUCCGUGUCCUUCUUGUGUUUGGAACACCAAAACUGGAUGCAGCCCUGCCAGUGGGGUCUCACAAGAGCAGAGUGGGGGGAACAGUCACCUCCUUUGACCUUCUGGCCACUCUCCUCUGGAUUCAGCCAAGAAAAGCCCUUGGCUUUCUGGGCUGUGAGCACUCACUGCUGGCUCAUGAUGCAUCAGCUGAGUCUCAAUAGAGACAUUCCCCACUAAGAGGCAGCAAGGGGAAGAGCUGGAAAAGGGUUGCACCUGGUUAGUAGAAGGGUUCCUUUCUAUCUUCCUCUGUCCCUUCUUAGAGCUGUCUGUUUGGAAAUGCUUGACUAUGUUGUGAUGUGUAAUUCUCAGAGAAGAAACAUGGCAGAGACCAGCAGACAUUCAUUUGAAAUGAUUUUCAUUCACUGCAUUCUGGAAUGGACUUGAAAGCAGGUCUCAGAGGCAACUUGUAUGUACCAGUUUGUCUUACAUAUUUAUUUAUGACAGACUUGAAUCUUCAGGAUGGUAUUCUAUCAAAUGACAUACCCACUCAGUGUGAUGUGUGUCUAAAAAUAGGUCAUUGUCAAAGGACAGGAAAGGAAUUGUAUAAAUCUAUAAACUAAACCAUUGCAGUCUAGUGGGAUAGCAUACUCUGAAGCUGAGGUAAUGCUAUCUUCAAAAUUGCAGCUUUCCAUGGAUUAUUUUCUAGAAUAAUGCAUUAACACUGUAUUUAUCAAAAUAGACUCUAAAGACAGCUAAUGCUAAUGGGUCACUUCUGACACAGCAGUUAGAAACAGUAAAGUAAAACAAACAAUCUCAGAAGGUGGAAGGGCUGGACCAAACUUUGCUCUUAUGCUUAAAAUAUUACUGAUUUGAACCUCCCAUUUUUUUAUGUGUUAAAUGAUAUCGUAAAAAACUUAUUUAGUGCUGGGACUUAGGUAUUUGGGUUUGAGAAUAAUGCUUCUGUUUUGUGCAUUUGGUCAAUGUGAAUGGAUUUUUUCCUCUAGUUAAUCUAGGGUGUUGAGAGGCCUGAAAAAUAAGACUCUGAAGAAUGAUACUGUUUAAAAAUGGGCAUUAGGAAAGGCAUUUUUGUCAUUUCAAAUAACCUGUUGAUGUAUACGAAUGUGCGGGGUUUGGACCACAACAGAACAAUGCAGAUUUUUUUAGUGUUCAUGACAGCAUAAGCGCCAGUACACAGGUGAGGUCUUGAACUCAGCUGCACAAAUGAUAUGUUUAGGUGCUUAAUGCAGUGUUGUUACUGCAAACUCAAUAGAAAGGCUAAUAUUUAAUUAAGGAUAGAGCGUGGAAAUGAUCAGCAAAAGAACAAAUGCAUCCGUGUACAGGGUUCUAUUGAGAGGUUUGGAGUUACCAGGUAAAGGGGAAGUGUGACAUCUGGUGGAAAGAUGGUAUCAGGAGCAAGAGAUCCAUUAGUGAUAAAUGGCAUUAUUUGGCAUGAAAAUGCAUUAUAUGAUGUUUGAAAUCACUGCUGGAUAUAAAAUUCACAUGAGUGACAUAUUUUGUGGUCUCAUAGUUCAUAUUGUCUGAACCAAAAUACAUGGCAAUAUGAUUAUGUUCUUAAUGAACAGUGAACUUUUCUAAGCUACCAAAGAAAGCUUAUUUUAUUAAGUUCCUUCCCCAAACUCUUAAUCUACACUGAAAAUAAAUUAAUAUGGUACAGA